AUUGAACGCUGGCGGCAGGCUUAACACAUGCAAGUCGAGCGGAGUGAUGGUGCUUGCACUAUCACUUAGCGGCGGACGGGUGAGUAAUGCUUAGGAAUCUGCCUAUUAGUGGGGGACAACAUCUCGAAAGGGAUGCUAAUACCGCAUACGACCUACGGGAGAAAGCAGGGGAUCACUUGUGACCUUGCGCUAAUAGAUGAGCCUAAGUCGGAUUAGCUAGUUGGUGGGGUAAAGGCCGACCAAGGCGACGAUCUGUAGCGGGUCUGAGAGGAUGAGCCGCCACGCGGGGACGGGGACAGGGCCCAGACUCCUACGGGGGGCAGCAGUGGGGAAUAUUGGGCAAUGGGGGGAGCGCUGAUCCAGCCAUGCCGGGUGUGUGAAGAAGGCCUUAUGGUUGUAGAGCACUUUAAGCGAGGAGGGGGCUCUAUUGGUUAAUACCCAAGAUGAGUGGACGUUACUCGCAGAAUAAGCACCGGCUAACUCUGUGCCAGCCGCCGCAGUAACAC
rnacentral:rRNA from 1 species